UUGCUGCUGCUUCACGCUCGGAGGAUGAUGAGAGAGAGACGCACACACUGGGAGAGAGCGAGAGAGAAAGAGAGACAAAAAUGAAGUUCAACUGAGCAACAAAGUAACGGAUGAGCCGCAGCACUUAAGAGGCCGGGCGGGCAGGCAGGAUUCCCCUCGGAAGCAAAGAAGGAGAUCGCGGGCGGUUGCAAAAGGCAGUUUUACAAUUGAUCAGCCUGGAGAUGAAGCUCUUGAAGCCGAGUUGGGUCAGUCACAAUGGUAAACCAAUAUUCUCAGUUGAUAUCCAUCCAGAUGGAACUAAGUUUGCUACAGGUGGCCAAGGUGAGGACUCUGGGAAGGUGGUCAUCUGGAACAUGGCCCCAGUUCUCAGAGAGGAGGAAGAGAAGAAUGAAAAUAUUCCCAAGCUGCUUUGCCAGAUGGACAAUC